rnacentral:rRNA from 1 species
UACGAAGGUGGCAAGCGUUGUUCGGAUUUACUGGGCGUACAGGGAGCGUAGGCGGUUGGAUAAGCCCUCCGUGAAAUCUCCAGGCUUAACCUGGAAAGUGCAGAGGGGACUGUUCAGCUAGAGGAUGGGAGAGGAGCGCGGAAUUCCCGGUGUAGCGGUGAAAUGCGUAGAGAUCGGGAGGAAGGCCGGUGGCGAAGGCGGCGUUCUGGAACAUUUCUGACGCUGAGGCUCGAAAGCGUGGGGAGCAAACAGGG